UAGGAGGAAGUAAAAGUCGUAACAAGGUUUCCGUAGGUGAACCUGCGGAAGGUUCAUUAUUGAAAUAAACCUGAUGGGUUGUUGCUGGCUCUCUAGGGAGCAUGUGCACACCUUGUCAUCUUUAUAUUUCCACCUGUGCACUUUUUGUAGACCUUUCAAGGUCUAUGUUGCUUCAUUUACCCCAAUGUAUGUUAAUAGAAUGUUGUGACUAUAUAAUAUAUACAACUUUCAGCAACGGAUCUCUUGGCUCUCGCAUCGAUGAAGAACGCAGCGAAAUGCGAUAAGUAAUGGGAAUUGCAGAAUUCAGUGAAUCAUCGAAUCUUUGAACGCACCUUGCGCUCCUUGGUAUUCCGAGGAGCAUGCCUGUUUGAGUGUCAUUAAUAUAUAUAUCAACCCUUCUCUUGUAGAGUGGUUUGGAUGUGGGGGUUUGCUGGCUUCUUAAAUGAUUCAGCUCCCCUGAAAUGCAUUAGCGGAACAAACCUUGUUCAUUGGCGUGAUAACUAUCUAUGCUGUUGAAUGUGGGGGGAAGUUCAGCUUUCUAACUGUCUUUGGACAAUUCAUCAUUAAUGUGACCUCAAAUCCAGCAGGACUACCCGGUGAACUUAAGCCUAUCCAUA
rnacentral:rRNA from 1 species